rnacentral:rRNA from 1 species
CUACUUCAACCAUCGCGAACUCGUCCAAGUUGCUUCGGCGGCGCGGCACCCCUUAACGGGGGCGCCGCAGCCCUGCCUCUCCGGAGGUUCGGGGCGCCCGCCGGAGGUACGAAACUCUGUAUUAUAGUGGCAUCUCUGAGUAUAAAACAAAUAAGUUAAAACUUUCAACAACGGAUCUCUUGGUUCUGGCAUCGAUGAAGAACGCAGCGAAAUGCGAUAAGUAAUGUGAAUUGCAGAAUUCAGUGAAUCAUCGAAUCUUUGAACGCACAUUGCGCCCGGUAGUACUCUACCGGGCAUGCCUGUUCGAGCGUCAUUUCAACCCUCAAGCCCUGCUUGGUGUUGGGGCCCUACGGCUGCCGUAGGCCCUGAAAGGAAGUGGCGGGCUCGCUACAACUCCGAGCGUAGUAAUUCAUUAUCUCGCUAGGGAGGUUGCGGCGUGCUCCUGCCGUUAAAGACCCAUCUUUAACCAAGGUUGACCUCGGAUCAGGUAGGAAUACCCGCUGAACUUAAGCAUAUCAAA